UACGUAGGGUGCGAGCGUUGUCCGGAAUUAUUGGGCGUAAAGGGCUCGUAGGCGGUUUGUCGCGUCGGGAGUGAAAACCCAGGGCUUAACCCUGGGCUGGCUUCCGAUACGGGCAGACUAGAGGUAUGCAGGGGAGAACGGAAUUCCAGGUGUAGCGGUGAAAUGCGUAGAUAUCUGGAGGAAUACCGGUGGCGAAGGCGGCAUCCUGGACCGACAUUGACGCUGAGGAGCGAAAGCUAGGGGAGCAAACGGG
rnacentral:rRNA from 1 species